rnacentral:piRNA from 1 species
UCUGCUAAAAAGCACUCCAGGCGCUUGGAGA